GACGAACGCUGGCGGCGUGCUUAACACAUGCAAGUCGAACGGAAAGGCCCUGCUUUUGUGGGGUGCUCGAGUGGCGAACGGGUGAGUAACACGUGAGUAACCUGCCCUUGACUUUGGGAUAACUUCAGGAAACUGGGGCUAAUACCGGAUAGGAGCUCCUGCUGCAUGGUGGGGGUUGGAAAGUUUCGGCGGUUGGGGAUGGACGCGCGGGUUAUCAGCUUGUUGGUGGGGUAGUGGCUUACCAAGGCUUUGACGGGUAGCCGGCCUGAGAGGGUGACCGGCCACAUUGGGACUGAGAGACGGCGCAGACUCCUACGGGAGGCAGCAGUGGGGAAUAUUGCCCAAUGGGCGGAAGCCUGAUGCAGCAACGCCGCGUGCGGGAUGACGGCCUUCGGGUUGUAAACCGCUUUCGCCUGUGACGAAGCGUGAGUGACGGUAAUGGGUAAAGAAGCACCGGCUAACUACGUG
rnacentral:rRNA from 1 species